UACGGGGGGGGCAAGCGUUGUUCGGAAUUACUGGGCGUAAAGAGCUUGUAGGCGGUUUGUCGCGUCUGCUGUGAAAAUCCGGGGCUCAACCCCGGACUUGCAGUGGGUACGGGCAGACUAGAGUGUGGUAGGGGAGACUGGAAUUCCUGGUGUAGCGGUGGAAUGCGCAGAUAUCAGGAGGAACACCGAUGGCGAAGGCAGGUCUCUGGGCCACUACUGACGCUGAGAAGCGAAAGCAUGGGGAGCGAACAGG
rnacentral:rRNA from 1 species